rnacentral:rRNA from 1 species
GACGAGCCACACGAACGUUAUUCGGAAUUACUGGGCUUAAAGGGUGCGUAGGCGGCGCGAAAAGUUGGGUGUGAAAUACCUCGGCUCAACCGAGGAACUGCGUCCAAAACUAUCGUGCUCGAGGAAGAUAGAGGUGAGCGGAACUUACGGUGGAGCGGUGAAAUGCGUUGAUAUCGUAAGGAACACCCGUGGCGAAAGCGGCUCACUGGGUCUUAUCUGACGCUGAUGCACGAAAGCUAGGGGAGCAAACGGG